UGGGGAAUAUUGCACAAUGGACGGAAGUCUGAUGCAGCAACGCCGCGUGCGGGAUGACGGCCUUCGGGUUGUAAACCGCUUUUUCUCAUGACGAAGUUUUUUGACGGUAGUGGGGGAAGAAGCACCGGCUAACUACGUGCCAGCAGCCGCGGUGAUACGUAGGGUGCGAGCGUUGUCCGGAAUUAUUGGGCGUAAAGAGCUUGUAGGCGGUUUGUCGCGUCGAUAGUGCAAACUCAGUGCUUAACGCUGAGCCUGCUGUUGAUACGGGCAGACUAGAGGAAGGGAGGGGAGAAUGGAAUUCCCGGUGGGGCGGUGGAAUGCGCAGAUAUCGGGAGGAACACCGGUGGCGAAGGCGGUUCUCUGGGCCUUUACUGACGCUGAGAAGCGAAAGCGUGGGGAGCGAACAGG
rnacentral:rRNA from 1 species